AAGUAGCUGUCAGAUGAAGCAGAAAUUUCAGAAUCAACAAUCUAGAUAGAUAAGUCAGCUAAUGAAUUUGGGCAUCAGAAAUUAUUUCAAAACGCGAAAAGGUACAAAAGCAUUGUAUGAACCUUUUGUCAAGGCUAUAAUCUCUGGAUC